ACGACCUUACUUGAACAGGAUCUGUUCUAUAGGCUCGUACCGCUGCAUCCUUUACCAAUAAGGAGGCAAGCACUUCAGUCUGGUUGAUGCAUUCUAACCUCUGGUCCAGAGCGUGAUUAACGGCCCGGGUUUAUCCUGAUGGGAUCAAUCCAACGGGGCUGUAGAGGAUCGUUCCUGAAUUGGCUCAUGCCUCUCCAGGGUGGCCUAGUGGUUGUCUGACAGACU
rfam:Triticum urartu cultivar G1812 contig552776, whole genome shotgun sequence.